rnacentral:rRNA from 1 species
CCUUGUAGUGGGGGACAACGUGUGGAAACGCACGCUAAUACCGCAUACGACCUACGGGUGAAAGUGGGGGAUCUUCGGACCUCACGCUAUAAGAUGAGCCUAUGUCUGAUUAGCUUGUUGGUGGGGUAAUGACCUACCAAGGCAACGAUCAGUAGCUGGUUUGAGAGGAUGAUCAGCCACACUGGGACUGAGACACGGCCCAGACUCCUACGGGAGGCAGCAGUGGGGAAUAUUGCACAAUGGGGGCAACCCUGAUGCAGCAAUGCCGCGUGUGUGAAGAAGGCCUGAGGGUUGUAAAGCACUUUCAAUAGUGAGGAAAAGUUUACGUUUAAUAGACGUGAACCCUGACGUUAACUAUAGAAGAAGGACCGGCUAACUCCGUGCCAGCAGCCGCGGUAAUACGGAGGGUCCGAGCGUUAAUCGGAAUUACUGGGCGUAAAGCGCGCGUAGGGGCUUAGUCAGUCGGAUGUGAAAGCCCUGGGCUUAACCUGGGAACUGCAUUCGAUACUGCUAAGCUAGAGUAUGGUAGAGGUAAGUGGAAUUUCUGGUGUAGCGGUGAAAUGCGUAGAUAUCAGAAGGAACAUCAGUGGCGAAGGGGCUUACUGGACCAAUACUGACGCUGAGGUGCGAAAGGUGGGGAGCAAACAGGAUUAGAUACCCUGGUAGUCCACGCCCUAAACGAUGUCAACUAGCCGUUGGGUUCAUUUAAGGACUUAGUGG